rnacentral:rRNA from 1 species
CCUACGGUGAGCAGCAGUGAGGAAUAUUGGUCAAUGGCCGGAAGGCUGAACCAGCCAAGCCGCGUGAAGGACGAAGGUGCCAAGCAUUGUAAACUUCUUUUGUCAAGGGACAAAAUCAGGCUCGAGAGCCUGACCGAGGGUACUUGAAGAAAAAGCAUCGGCUAACUCCGUUCCAGCAGCCGCGGUACUCCGGAGGAUGCGAGCGUUCUCCGGAUUUCUUGGGUUUAAAGGGUGCGUAGGCGGGCUGUUAAGUCAGCGGUAAAAGCCCGGGGCUCAACCCCGGCGAGACGUUGACAAUGGCUGGCUUGAGAUGUCGAGAGGUAUGCGGAAUGCGCAGUGUAGCGGUGAAAUGCUUAGAGAUUGCGCAGAACUCCGAUUGCGAAGGCAGCAUACCGGCGGCGAUCUGACGCUGAGGCACGAAAGCGUGGGUAUCGAACAGGAUUAGAUACCCGGGUAGUC